rnacentral:sRNA from 1 species
UUGUGAUUAUUUUACCUAAGACAGUAGGAGUUAUUAAUAACUUAAAACAGUAUCCUACCGAGGCUAAAAUUGACUUGAACGUGAUGAUUAAUGAUCUUUCAAGCACUUUUUGCCGUGGGUAGAAAGUGCUUUUUUUAUUG